GACGAACGCUGGCGGCGUGCCUAAUACAUGCAAGUCGAGCGAGCUUGCCUAGAUGAAUUUGGUGCUUGCACCAAAUGAAACUAGAUACAAGCGAGCGGCGGACGGGUGAGUAACACGUGGGUAACCUGCCCAAGAGACUGGGAUAACACCUGGAAACAGAUGCUAAUACCGGAUAACAACACUAGACGCAUGUCUAGAGUUUAAAAGAUGGUUCUGCUAUCACUCUUGGAUGGACCUGCGGUGCAUUAGCUAGUUGGUAAGGUAACGGCUUACCAAGGCAAUGAUGCAUAGCCGAGUUGAGAGACUGAUCGGCCACAUUGGGACUGAGACACGGCCCAAACUCCUACGGGAGGCAGCAGUAGGGAAUCUUCCACAAUGGACGCAAGUCUGAUGGAGCAACGCCGCGUGAGUGAAGAAGGGUUUCGGCUCGUAAAGCUCUGUUGGUAGUGAAGAAAGAUAGAGGUAGUAACUGGCCUUUAUUUGACGGUAAUUACUUAGAAAGUCACGGCUAACUACGUGCCAGCAGCCGCGGUAAUACGUAGGUGGCAAGCGUUGUCCGGAUUUAUUGGGCGUAAAGCGAGUGCAGGCGGUUCAAUAAGUCUGAUGUGAAAGCCUUCGGCUCAACCGGAGAAUUGCAUCAGAAACUGUUGAACUUGAGUGCAGAAGAGGAGAGUGGAACUCCAUGUGUAGCGGUGGAAUGCGUAUAUAUAUGGAAAAUCACCCGUGGCGAAGGCGGCUCUUUGCGCUGCAACUGACGCUGAGGCUCGAAAGACGGCGUAGCGAUACG
rnacentral:rRNA from 1 species